GGGCUAGUAGCUUUGAGGAUUAGAGCAUGUGGCUACAAACCACGGUGUCAUGGGUUCAAAUCCCUCCUCACCCA